rnacentral:rRNA from 1 species
CUACGGGUGGCAGCAGUGAGGAAUUUUGCGCAAUGGGGGGAACCCUGACGCAGCAACGCCGCGUGAGUGAUGAAGGCUUUCGGGUCGUAAAGCUCUGUCAAGUGGGAAGAACCUAUGCAGUGUUAAUAUCACUGUAUACUGACGGUACCACUGAAGGAAGCACCGGCUAACUCCGUGCCAGCAGCCGCGGUAAUACGGGGGGUGCAAGCGUUAUUCGGAAUCAUUGGGCGUAAAGGGCACGUAGGCGGCUUGGUAAGUCAGAUGUGAAAGCCCGGGGCUUAACCCCGGAAGUGCAUUUGAUACUGUCAGGCUUGAGUAUGGGAGAGGGAAGUGGAAUUCCUGGUGUAGAGGUGAAAUUCGUAGAUAUCAGGAGGAGCACCGGUGGCGAAGGCGACUUCCUGGACCAAUACUGACGCUGAGGUGCGAAGGCGUGGGUAGCAAACAGGAUUAGAUACCCUCGUAGUC